CAGUCGCCGCGGGAAUACGAAGGGGGCUAGCGUUGCUCGGAAUGACUGGGCGUAAAGGGCGCGUAGGCGGCGGCCAAAGUCAGGCGUGAAAUUCCCGGGCUCAACCUGGGGGCUGCGUUUGAUACUUGGUUGCUUGAGUGGGGAAGAGGGUCGUGGAAUUCCCAGUGUAGAGGUGAAAUUCGUAGAUAUUGGGAAGAACACCGGUGGCGAAGGCGGCGACCUGGUCCUUGACUGACGCUGAGGCGCGAAAGCGUGGGGAGCAAACAGGAUUAGAUACCCCAGUAGUCCCUGUCUCUUAUAC
rnacentral:rRNA from 1 species